rnacentral:rRNA from 13 species
CUUAAGUGCUCGCUCAUCAGAUACCAUAUAAAGGGUGUUGGUUCAUUUUGAC